ACCAACCCUAGCCCAAAAACUACUAAAACAUAAUAACAACUCCCAAGUUAAACAAAACAUUUACACUAAUAAAAGUAUAGGAGAUAGAAAUUUUACCAGGAGCUAUAGAGAAAGUACCGUAAGGGAAAGAUGAAAGAAUUAGUUAAUAGUAAAACAAAGCAAAGACUGACCCUUUUACCUUUUGCAUAAUGAACUAACUAGAACUUAACUUCGCAAAAAGAAUUUUAGCCAAGUACCCCGAAACCAAGCGAGCUACCUAUGAGCAAUCAAUUAGGAUCAACCCGUCUAUGUAGCAAAAUAGUGGGAAGACUUACAGGUAGAGGUGAAAGACCUAACGAGCAUGGUGAUAGCUGGUUGUCCAGAUUAGAAUUUCAGUUCAACAUUAAGUUUACCCAAAGCACUAAAAAUCCCAAUGUAAACUUAACUGUUAUUCUAAAGAGGUACAGCUCUUUAGACAAGGGAAACAACCCCYUUUAGUGAGUAAAACCUAAACCCAUCAUAGUAGGCCUAAAAGCAGCCAUCAAUUAAAAAAGCGUUCAAGCUUAACUUAUAAUAAAAACUUAAUCUUAAUAUCUAACAUACACCUCCUAAACCUUAACUGGACUAAUCUAUAUUCCAUAUAGAAGCAAUAAUGUUAAUAUGAGUAACAAGAAAUAAUUCUCCCUGCAUAAGUUUAUAUCAGACCGAAUAAAUCACUGAUAGUUAACAAGUGUAUAAUAAAACAUAAAAAUUAAACUCUUAUUACAUCCACUGUUAACCCAACACCGGAAUGCAUUAAAGGAAAGAUUCAAAAGAGUAAAAGGAACUCGGCAAACAUUAACCCCGCCUGUUUACCAAAAACAUCACCUCUAGCAUUAACAGUAUUAGAGGCACUGCCUGCCCAGUGACAUAUGUUCAACGGCCGCGGUAUCCUGACCGUGCAAAGGUAGCAUAAUCAUUUGUUCUCUAAUUAAGGACUUGCAUGAAUGGCUUGACGAGGGUUUAACUGUCUCUUACUCUUAAUCAGUGAAAUUGACCUCCCCGUGAAGAGGCGGGGAUAAAUAAAUAAGACGAGAAGACCCUAUGGAGCUUAAAUUUACUAAUCUAAGCACUCUAACACCAACUUUCCUCGGAAAUUAAAAUCUCGCCUAUAGAUUACAAAUUUCGGUUGGGGUGACCUCGGAGUACAAAUCAACCUCCGAAUGAUUUUAGUUCAGACAUUACAUGUCGAAACUUACAUUCAUCAAUUGACCCAAUUUUAUUGAUCAACGGAACAAGUUACCCUAGGGAUAACAGCGCAAUCCUACUCAAGAGUCCAUAUCGACAGUAGGGUUUACGACCUCGAUGUUGGAUCAGGACAUCCAAAUGGUGUAACCGCUAUUAAUGGUUCGUUUGUUCAACGAUUAAAGUCCUACGUGAUCUGAGUCAGACCGGAGAAAUCCAGUCG
rnacentral:rRNA from 1 species